rnacentral:rRNA from 1 species
GGUGAACGCUGGCGGCGUGCUUAAGACAUGCAAGUCGAACGCAGUCUUCGGACUGAGUGGCGCACGGGUGAGUAACACGUAACUGACCUACCCCCAAGUCGCGAAUAACCAGCCGAAAGGAUGGCUAAUACGUGAUGUGAUGAUCCGCUGUGGCGGAUCAUUAAAGACUUGAUCGCUUGGGGAUGGGGUUGCGUUCCAUCAGCUGGUUGGUAAGGUAAAGGCUUACCAAGGCAACGACGGAUAGCCGGCCUGAGAGGGUGGCCGGCCACAGGGGCACUGAGACACGGGUCCCGCUCUUACGGGAGGCAGCAGUUAGGAAUCUUCCACAAUGGGCGCAAGCCUGAUGGAGCGACGCCGCGUGAGGGAUGAAGGUUCUCGGAUCGUAAACCUCUGAACCAACGACGAAAGACCCGACAAGGGAGAUGACGGUAGUUGGGUAAUAGCACCGGCUAACUCCGUGCCAGCCGCCGCAGUAAAAC